rnacentral:rRNA from 1 species
GACGAACGCUGGCGGCGUGCCUAAUACAUGCAAGUCGAGCGGACUUAAAAAGCUUGCUUUUUCAGUUAGCGGCGGACGGGUGAGUAACACGUGGGCAACCUGCCUGUAAGACUGGGAUAACUUCGGGAAACCGGAGCUAAUACCGGAUAAUCCUUUUCUAUUCAUGUAGAAAAGCUGAAAGACGGUUUACGCUGUCACUUACAGAUGGGCCCGCGGCGCAUUAGCUAGUUGGUGAGGUAACGGCUCACCAAGGCGACGAUGCGUAGCCGACCUGAGAGGGUGAUCGGCCACACUGGAACUGAGACACGGCCCAGACUCCUACGGGAGGCAGCAGUAGGGAAUCUUCCGCAAUGGACGAAAGUCUGACGGAGCAACGCCGCGUGAGUGAUGAAGGUUUUCGGAUCGUAAAACUCUGUUGUUAGGGAAGAACAAGUACGAGAGUAACUGCUCGUACCUUGACGGUACCUAACCAGAAAGCCACGGCUAACUACGUG